AAACUAAAAGACAAUCCCACCCUAGCGUGGGAGUCUUCUUCUCGAAUCCCAGUUGAUAAAGUGGCAGAGACUACCGCUCCAGUCAUGAGACCGGAGCACCGGAGCUCAAUCCUGAGCUGGUCUUGCAACUCCUGGGAGGAGACCCACAAAAUUCAACGUUGUUCCUUUCCGAAACCUCCGCUUCAUUCUUGGAUUCACCAAAACCUGGCAACACUCCAGAAAAAAAUUAUUUCACGAAAGGUUCGACUUCUGAAGUUAUAGAAAUCAAAAUCAAAAUCAAAAUCAAAAUCGAACCCAGAAAUCAAAACCACCCAAAUUAUAGAAAUCGACACCUUUUUCGGUGCUGUGGCAGAUGGGUUGCAGAAAUUGGGAGUUUUCUAGUGCGAUCUAAUGAAUAUUCCAAUGCGAAAAUGACCAAUUUUUUUCAAGAUUCAACCUGGCGAAACUCUCCAAAAUCUACCCAGCAAGCAAAUUGUUCCCAAGAUCAUCAAGCACUGUGAGUCUUCAAACCUGGUGACAAACUCCGGAAACGACCCGGAAAACCAACAAUGGGGAAACCCAUGCAUGGUGACUUCAACCUCGUGGAUGGAGGCGGGACAGAGGCUGCGAUCUUACGAGGCCACCAUCAUCCAUUGAAGCUGGCGACGCUAGCGAACGACGUCGGGAAAGGUGGCUUCGGUGAUGCUGCCAAGGUGGUGGUGUUGAGUUCAUCAAAGGGCUAAAACGGAAAUGUCCAAGGAUUAUUGUUUUCAGUUUGCUUGGUGGGUUUAUUUUUGUUAUUGGACCCUUGAUCCGAACUCUGCAAAAAUU
rnacentral:lncRNA from 1 species